UACGUAGGGGGCAAGCGUUGUCCGGAAUUAUUGGGCGUAAAGCGCGCGCAGGCGGUUUUUUAAGUCUGGUGUUUAAACCCGGGGCUCAACCUCGGGUCGCAUCGGAAACUGGGAGACUGGAGUGUAGGAGAGGGAAGUGGAAUUCCACGUGUAGCGGUGAAAUGCGUAGAGAUGUGGAGGAACACCAGUGGCGAAGGCGACUUCCUGGCCUAUAACUGACGCUGAGGCGCGAAAGCGUGGGGAGCAAACA
rnacentral:rRNA from 1 species